rnacentral:lncRNA from 1 species
CCAACCGCCGGGCUAUAAUCUAUGAAACUGAGCCCAGAUCAGCCAAUCAGUUAGGUCCUCAUAACAAGUCUAACUGGCUCUGGAAAGCUGAAAGGGCUGCACUGGAGCACCGCAGAUGAAAUAUUCCACACAAGAAUCUGUUUAUCUAGAGUCCCUUUGCCUGGAAAGGGUCAGAGAAAAAUCACAGCUUCAUUGCCUGAGGGAAGGAGGACAGGUGAUCUGGCAGAGAUGAGUCUGAAGCUGGAGCAA